rnacentral:rRNA from 1 species
GACGAACGCUGGCGGCGUGCCUAAUACAUGCAAGUCGAACGCUUCUUUCCUCCCGAGUGCUUGCACUCAAUUGGAAAGAGGAGUGGCGGACGGGUGAGUAACACGUGGGUAACCUACCCAUCAGAGGGGGAUAACACUUGGAAACAGGUGCUAAUACCGCAUACCAGUUUAUGCCGCAUGGCAUAAGAGUGAAAGGCGCUUUCGGGUGUCGCUGAUGGAUGGACCCGCGGUGCAUUAGCUAGUUGGUGAGGUAACGGCUCACCAAGGCCACGAUGCAUAGCCGACCUGAGAGGGUGAUCGGCCACACUGGGACUGAGACACGGCCCAGACUCCUACGGGAGGCAGCAGUAGGGAAUCUUCGGCAAUGGACGAAAGUCUGACCGAGCAACGCCGCGUGAGUGAAGAAGGUUUUCGGAUCGUAAAACUCUGUUGUUAGAGAAGAACAAGGACGUUAGUAACUGAACGUCCCCUGACGGUAUCUAACCAGAAAGCCACGGCUAACUACGUG